rnacentral:antisense_RNA from 1 species
AGAAGGGCUUCCACGGGCGACCGAUUGGGGGCCUUUUUCUUUUGC